UACGUAGGGCGCAAGCGUUGUCCGGAAUUAUUGGGCGUAAAGAGCUCGUAGGCGGUUUGUCGCGUCUGUCGUGAAAGCCCACGGCUUAACUGUGGGUCUGCGGUGGAUACGGGCAGACUAGAGGCAGGUAGGGGAGAAUGGAAUUCCCGGUGUAGCGGUGAAAUGCGCAGAUAUCGGGAGGAACACCGGUGGCGAAGGCGGUUCUCUGGGCCUGUACUGACGCUGAGAAGCGAAAGCGUGGGGAGCGAACAGG
rnacentral:rRNA from 1 species